CUGAUGCUACAUUCGAUACGAACGGUGGAGAUGAGAAGGUCUUCACCGGUAACCGAGGUCUUCAGUACGAGAGACGGCGAUUGGAGUAACAGCCUCGUCGGUCGAUCGAUUGGAAUCCCUCGAGAUGCACUUAUGAAAAGGAAAGCAAAGAGGAAGAUAAAUACAGACUGCUGGGAAAGCAAUUAGCAAUAGAUGCCUCGUUCGAGCCAGUGAUGGCAGGAAGACCAUCUCUGCUAUGGAACCACAAGCACUUGGUCAGUUGAAUUUGUUUUGCAAGAGAGGGACUGCUGUCAUGCCUGCUGAACAGCAUUCGGCUUCCCUGCUAGGCGAAUUGAUUGGACGUUCUUGUAUGUUUUAUACUCAUUAAACAUUUUAUUUCAUUGGUCUCCAUUGUUUUUUUUUGUUUUUGUUUUUUCUGCUUUUGAACCCAAAAGCUGGGUUCGGAGAGAAUGACAGUGCUUGUGUCUAUUGAAGCUUUUGUGCAAAAUCAAAUUCACUUCGUUGAAUUGCAAAUGUUGAGCUAUAAGCGUGCAAAUUGCAGACCUGUAACAGGUUAGAUGUUGUUUGACUACUACUCAGAAUAUAGCUAAAGCAGCAUGUCAUGACAAAGUAAUUGAUAUUUAGAAUCAUGGUUCUUAGAUUAGUCAUCAUUGAAUUGCUGCGUGAAUAUUUCAUGUGGAAGAAGGAAAAUAACAUGACAAUUCCCUUUAAAUUGAUCUGUCAGCAAACAAACUUGAGAUGCCCUUAUACAUCUUCUCUAGAUGGAACAAAAGAAGAAAAUUAUAUCAAAGAAUCAAUAGUAAAAAUUGGAUGCCUUUUUCUUUACUACUUUUCCUCUGUGUUUUAUACAGGAACAGGAUGCUGCAGUCUGCCGUUC